UGCCUUUCAGGGCUGGCCCUGUUAGCCUGGUUCCCAGCUCAGAGCUCUGUAUGCUGAUUUGAAUCACAGUCCUCAGAAGAGCAGAACAUUGGUGCUAGGAAGGAUUAGAGUUCUGAGCCAUCAAACCAGCUUCAAGGUUUUUCUUUUCCCAUUAUUUUGAUGUUUGAUAGCAUGCUUAAAUUAAAUACUUGGAAGAUUACAUUUUGCUAAAUAAUGCUGUGAGCAAACAGUUUCUGCAGUCCAGACAUUCUUUCACCCGAGAACAUUUUCUUUAAAAGGUAGCACGUUUCCUUGGACAGCAGCCAUCCCUGGCAGCAGAUCUCAGCACUCAGUAGGAAACCCAUGCCUUUGAGUUCUGAACUAGCCCAUACUGGAAUUAAAACACAACACUAACAGUCAGAAUCGGUUGUUCUUGGUGGGAUGAAGAGGACCACAUAGUCUCUGCUCAUGAAAAAAACUGAACUAGAAUUUACAUGAAUAACUUCCAGUAAAUCUGUCUGUGUCAGCUCCUCACCAUUACAGCAACGCCUUUGAGAAAUGGAUAGGUGAGAACAUGUACUAAUGUCAGCUGUGUAUACAUUCAGCUCUGGGGUAAAAAGCCUUAACAAGAGAACAGAAAGAGGUUGGGCCACAGUGCAGUUAAAAACACACAAAAAAAUGGAAGUCAAAUGUCAACACAGAAGUUUAAUUUGGAGGUCUGUGGACAGAUGGAGAGUUGAAGUCCACUCCCUACCUGUUUGUAGGUCUUCUUUUUAUUUAUUUAUUAUACUAAUUAGAAAAAA
rnacentral:lncRNA from 1 species